rnacentral:rRNA from 1 species
UACGGAGGGUGCAAGCGUUAAUCGGAAUUACUGGGCGUAAAGCGUGCGCAGGCGGUUUGUUAAGUCUGCUGUGAAAUCCCCGAGCUCAACUUGGGAAUUGCAGUGGAUACUGGCAAGCUGGAGUACGGUAGAGGAAGGUGGAAUUCCCGGUGUAGCAGUGAAAUGCGUAGAGAUCGGGAGGAACACCAGUGGCGAAGGCGGCCUUCUGGACCAGUACUGACGCUCAUGCACGAAAGCGUGGGAGCAAACAGG